CAAUUAUGAUGUGUUGCUCGGCACCUUACGAGAAAUCAAAGUCUUUGGGUUCUGGGGGAGUAUGGUCGCAAGGCUGAAACUUAAAGGAAUUGACGGAAGGGCACCACCAGGUGUAAACUCACAGUUCGCAGUAACUCUGCACCGAAAAGCAGCCUGAAAGGGUGAGGUGGUUAGCCUUGAGACUUAGGUCUUUAAAUUUAAAUGCUAGUCUGUCUUCGUUGAUAGGCGACAUCUUCAAAUUGCGGGAAACUCCUAAAGCUUUGAGCACCGCCUCUGGGCUGAAAAGCCUAGUUGUGCACCAGGGUAAUGACCUCGGGUACGGUAAAAGCCUCAAAGAUAUUACAAUGGACAAUCCGCAGCCAAGAUCCUAAGGGCCCUUAACGGGGUCCAUGGAAAAGGUUCAGAGACUAGAUGGAGAUGGGUUGUUCAAAAUUUGAACGGCUUAAGAUAUAGUCCGGCUCUAUGUGAAAGCAUAGAGAUUUGAAAACGGGAGCCUGCGGCUUAAUUUGACUCAACACGG
rnacentral:ncRNA from 1 species